CAAAUAGUUUUUGGGGUUUUUUUAUUAUUUUGGGGAAGGCUGGAGGGGGGCACGAUGAGAAAAGGCACCGUCAGUGAGGGCUUGCCACAAACCGAUUUCAAGUCUUCUCCUUCAGACCCAGGGGCUGGAGAAGCUGUCCCUCCGAGGCUCCCUGGCACCUACCAGGGGGACAUGUACCUCUCUAAAUGGGCCCUGAUUGGUUAGUGUAAUAUCCCUAGUGCAGCUAUCAACGUGGUCAUAAGAACUAUGAACUACAGCAUGGGCUUUUAGGCGGGGAGUUCAUCUUGCCAGGUUCUAUCAUAUUUAUGGGCUGUGCGAUUUCCAGGGCUCCAAUUGGUCUUUCCUUUAUGGAGGCAAGAAAUAAAACUUUCCUUGUAGCACGGAAACUGCUGGGGCUCCACCACGGGGAAACAAAGUGGCUUCAAGCUCCCGCCCCCGUGGCUACCGCUGCCACCCGUCCCGGUGGUGCAGGUGCGCUGCAGGAUGCUGCGACCACGCGGGUCCGCCCGUGCCCAGUGUCCUGCCAGCAGACAGGAGCGCAGGGGUGAGAAGCUGCCGCAUUUGGGCAGGAAUUCUACCCCAAAAAACACCCCAAAACAACC